CAUUUGGUGCCCGUUUGUGCUCAUUUACUGCCCAUUUGGGCGUGUUUUUUCCCGUUUUUCCCCAUUUUCACCCCGUUUUUGCCCAUUUUCCCCCGUUUUCACCCCAUUUUGGGCCAUUUUGACCUCUUUGGAGCCCAUUUGAGGACAUUUUGGACCAUUCCAUGCCCAUUUGAGUGCAUUUAGUGCCCGUUUGUGCUCAUUUAGUACCCAUUUGUGCGCGUUUUUUCCCGUUUUUCCCCCUUUUU
rnacentral:lncRNA from 1 species